GGCGGCGUGCCUAACACAUGCAAGUCGAACGGUAACUUUUUUAAAAGAUUUCUUCGGAAUGAAUUUGAUUAAGUUAGUGGCGGACGGGUGAGUAACGCGUGAGUAACCUGCCUCUAAGAGGGGAAUAACAUUCUGAAAAGAAUGCUAAUACCGCAUAACAUAUAUUUAUCGCAUGGUAGAUAUAUCAAAGAUUUAUCGGUUUGGGGUGGGCUCGCGUCCGAUUAGGUAGUUGGUGAGGUAACGGCCCACCAAGCCGACGAUCGGUAGCCGACCUGAGAGGGUGAUCGGCCACAUUGGGACUGAGACACGGCCCAAACUCCUACGGGAGGCAGCAGUGGGGAAUAUUGGGCAAUGGAGGAAACCCUGAUGCAGCGACGCCGCGUGAGCGAAGAAGUAUUUCGGUAUGUAAAGCUCUAUCAGCAGGGAAGAAGAAAUGACGGUACCUGACUAAGAAGCACCGGCUAAAUACGUG
rnacentral:rRNA from 1 species